UACGAAGGGUGCAAGCGUUAUCCGGAUUCAUUGGGUUUAAAGGGUGCGUAGGCGGAGCGUUAAGUCAGUGGUGAAAUCCUGCAGCUCAACUGUAGACUUGCCAUUGAUACUGGCGUUCUUGAGUGCGCUUGAAGUAAGCGGAAUGUGCCGUGUAGCGGUGAAAUGCUUAGAUAUGACAUAGAACACCGAUAGCGUAGGCAGCUUGCUACACGAAUAUUGACACUGAGGCACGAAAGCGUGGGGAUCAAACAGG
rnacentral:rRNA from 1 species